AAUACCCUAUUAUUUAAAAAGAAAUUUAAUUUACUUAAUUAGUAGUAGUUAAGGUCUUGAAAAUUAAAGAAUUUGGCGGUAUUUUAGUCUAUUCAGAGGAAUCUGUCCUAUAAUUGAUGAUCCACGAUUUUUAUUACCUAUUUUUUUAAUUUACAUAUCGCCGUAGUUUGAAUAUUUUUAAAAAAAAAUAAUAUUCAUAAUUUAUUUUUAUAAAAAAUAUCAGGUCAAGGUGUAGUUUAUGGAUAGGAAGAGAUGGAUUACAAUAAAAAUAUUUAUUAUGGAUUAAUUAAUGAAAAAUUUUUAUGAAAGUGGAUUUGAUAGUAAUUUUAUUAA
rnacentral:rRNA from 1 species